rnacentral:rRNA from 1 species
CCUGAUCCAGCCAUGCCGCGUGAGUGAAGAAGGCCUUCGGGUUGUAAAGCUCUUUCGGCCGGGAAGAAAUCGUAUCAGCUAAUACCUGGUGCGGAUGACGGUACCGGCAUAAGAAGCACCGGCUAACUACGUGCCAGCAGCCGCGGUAAUACGUAGGGUGCGAGCGUUAAUCGGAAUUACUGGGCGUAAAGCGUGCGCAGGCGGUUUUGUAAGACAGGCGUGAAAUCCCCGGGCUCAACCUGGGAACUGCGUUUGUGACUGCAAGGCUAGAGUACGGCAGAGGGGGGUGGAAUUCCACGUGUAGCAGUGAAAUGCGUAGAGAUGUGGAGGAACACCAAUGGCGAAGGCAGCCCCCUGGGUCGAUACUGACGCUCAUGCACGAAAGCGUGGGUAGCAAACAGGAUUAGAUACCCUGGUAGUCCACGCCCUAAACGAUGUCAACUAGGUGUUGGGUGGGUAAAACCAUUUAGUACCGGAGCUAACGCGUGAAGUUGACCGCCUGGGGAGUACGGCCGCAAGGUUAAAACUCAAAGGAAUUGACGGG